rnacentral:rRNA from 1 species
UACGGAGGGGGCUAGCGUUGUUCGGAAUUACUGGGCGUAAAGGGUGUGUAGGCGGUUGUUUAAGUUUGGUGUGAAAUCUCCCGGCUCAACUGGGAGGGUGCGCCGAAUACUGAAUGACUCGAGUGCGGGAGAGGAGAGUGGAAUUCCUGGUGUAGCGGUGAAAUGCGUAGAUAUCAGGAGGAACACCGGCGGUGUAGACGGCUCUCUGGACCGUAACUGACGCUGAGACACGAAAGCGUGGGUAGCAAACAGG